GGGCCCUUAGUUAAGUGGCAUAAUAGCGGUCUCCAAAACCGCGGUCAGAGGUUCAACUCCUCUAGGGCCUG
rnacentral:tRNA from 1 species